rnacentral:rRNA from 1 species
UGCGUAGGCGGUUUACUAAGUCAGACGUGAAAGCCCCGGGCUUAACCUGGGAACUGCAUUUGAUACUGGUAGGCUAGAGUAUGAUAGAGGGGGGUAGAAUUCCUGGUGUAGCGGUGAAAUGCGUAGAUAUCAGGAGGAAUACCAGUGGCGAAGGCGGCCCCCUGGAUCAAUACUGACGCUGAGGUACGAAAGCGUGGGUAGCGAACA